rnacentral:tRNA from 1 species
AAAUUAGUUUAAUUAAAAUAUAAACCUGUCAGAUUUAUGAAGCUCUUGAGUAUUUUUCU